AUUGAACGCUGGCGGCAUGCUUUACACAUGCAAGUCGAGCGGAGAGAGGUAGCUUGCUACUGAUCUUAGCGGCGGACGGGUGAGUAAUGCUUAGGAAUCUGCCUAUUAGUGGGGGACAACAUUUCGAAAGGAAUGCUAAUACCGCAUACGUCCUACGGGAGAAAGCAGGGGAUCUUCGGACCUUGCGCUAAUAGGUGAGCCUAAGUCGGAUUAGCUAGUUGGUGGGGUAAAGGCCUACCAAGGCGACGAUCUGUAGCGGGUCUGAGAGGAUGAUCCGCCACACUGGGACUGAGACACGGCCCAGACUCCUACGGGAGGCAGCAGUGGGGAAUAUUGGACAAUGGGCGCAAGCCUGAUCCAGCCAUGCCGCGUGUGUGAAGAAGGCCUUAUGGUUGUAAAGCACUUUAAGCGAGGAGGAGGCUACUUUAGAUAAUACCUAGAGAUAGUGGACGUUACUCGCAGAAUAAGCACCGGCUAACUCUGUGCCAGCCGCCGCCGUAACAC
rnacentral:rRNA from 1 species